rnacentral:rRNA from 1 species
GAUGAACGCUGGCGGCGUGCCUAAUACAUGCAAGUCGAGCGAACGGACGAGAAGCUUGCUUCUCUGAUGUUAGCGGCGGACGGGUGAGUAACACGUGGAUAACCUACCUAUAAGACUGGGAUAACUUCGGGAAACCGGAGCUAAUACCGGAUAAUAUUUUGAACCGCAUGGUUCAAAAGUGAAAGACGGUCUUGCUGUCACUUAUAGAUGGAUCCGCGCUGCAUUAGCUAGUUGGUAAGGUAACGGCUUACCAAGGCAACGAUGCAUAGCCGACCUGAGAGGGUGACCGCCCACACUGGAACUGCGACACGGUCCAGACUCCGACGGGGGGCAGCAGUGGGGAUUCUUCGGGAAGGGGCGAAACCCGAACGGAGCACCGCCGCGUGAGUGAUGAAGGUCUUAGGAUCUAAAAACUCUUUUAUUAGGAAAAAAAAUAUGGGAAAGAACCUGUGCACAUCUGGAGGUACCCUAACCAGAAGCCCAGGACAAACUACGUG